GGGGGGCUAUACAUGCAAGUCGAGCGGACAGAAGGGAGCUUGCUCCCGGAUGUUAGCGGCGGACGGGUGAGUAACACGUGGGUAACCUGCCUGUAAGACUGGGAUAACUCCGGGAAACCGGAGCUAAUACCGGAUAGUUCCUUGAACCGCAUGGUUCAAGGAUGAAAGACGGUUUCGGCUGUCACUUACAGAUGGACCCGCGGCGCAUUAGCUAGUUGGUGGGGUAAUGGCUCACCAAGGCGACGAUGCGUAGCCGACCUGAGAGGGUGAUCGGCCACACUGGGACUGAGACACGGCCCAGACUCCUACGGGAGGCAGCAGUAGGGAAUCUUCCGCAAUGGACGAAAGUCUGACGGAGCAACGCCGCGUGAGUGAUGAAGGUUUUCGGAUCGUAAAGCUCUGUUGUUAGGGAAGAACAAGUGCGAGAGUAACUGCUCGCACCUUGACGGUACCUAACCAGAAAGCCACGGCUAACUACGUGCCAGCAGCCGCGGUAAUACGUAGGUGGCAAGCGUUGUCCGGAAUUAUUGGGCGUAAAGGGCUCGCAGGCGGUUUCUUAAGUCUGAUGUGAAAGCCCCCGGCUCAACCGGGGAGGGUCAUUGGAAACUGGGAAACUUGAGUGCAGAAGAGGAGAGUGGAAUUCCACGUGUAGCGGUGAAAUGCGUAGAGAUGUGGAGGAACACCAGUGGCGAAGGCGACUCUCUGGUCUGUAACUGACGCUGAGGAGCGAAAGCGUGGGGAGCGAACAGGAUUAGAUACCCUGGUAGUCCACGCCGUAAACGAUGAGUGCUAAGUGUUAGGGGGUUUCCGCCCCUUAGUGCUGCAGCUAACGCAUUAAGCACUCCGCCUGGGGAGUACGGUCGCAAGACUGAAACUCAAAGGAAUUGACGGGGGCCCGCACAAGCGGUGGAGCAUGUGGUUUAAUUCGAAGCAACGCGAAGAACCUUACCAGGUCUUGACAUCCUCUGACAACCCUAGAGAUAGGGCUUUCCCUUCGGGGACAGAAUGACAGGUGGUGCAUGGUUGUCGUCAGCUCCUGUCGUGAGAUGUUGGGUUAAUUCCCGCAACAAGCGCAACCCUUGAUCUUAGUUGCCACCAUUUAGUUGGGCACUCUAAGGUGACUGCCGGUUACAAACCGGAAGAAGGGGGGGAUGACUUCCAAUCAUCAUGCCCCUUAUAACC
rnacentral:rRNA from 1 species